AAAGUCGUAACAAGGUUUCCGUAGGUGAACCUGCGGAAGGAUCAUUAACACGAAGCCAACGUUAAACCCGUGCACCUUCAAACACCCGUACCGCUUGUCGCCACGAUUUGGAUCUUGAUGCACCCGUUUUCUUUUAACCACCGCUGGAAAACUAUGUCUUCAAGUACCCGCUCGGGGGGCCUGAGAACCUUCCAGAGCUGGAAUACCCGAACAUUGGAUAUCUUGGCUCUC
rnacentral:misc_RNA from 1 species